GGGCAAGUGGCCAAGUGGUAAGGCGCUCGCUUUGCAUGUUUCUGAUCUUGAAUUGCGAGAGAUCGAGGUUUCGAUUACCUUCUUGUCCA